CGCAGCCGCGGUAAUUCCAGCUCCAAUAGCGUAUAUUAAAGUUGCUGCAGUUAAAAAGCUCGUAGUUGAAUUUCGGGACCAUCAUGUCGGUCGUGCCUCGGUACGUACUGGCAUUGUUGGUUUCUACCUUCUGACGAACCAUGAUGUCAUUUAUUUGGUGUCGUGGGAAAUCAGGACUGUUACUUUGAAAAAAUUAGAGUGUUUAAAGCAGGCUCACGCUUGAAUACAUUAGCAUGGAAUAAUGAAAUAGGACGUUUGAUUCUAUUUUGUUGGUUUCUAGGAUCGACGUAAUGAUUAAUAGGGAUAGUUGGGGGCAUUAGUAUUCAAUUGUCAGAGGUGAAAUUCUUGGAUUUAUUGAAGACUAACUACUGCGAAAAGCAUUUGCCAAGGAUGUUUUCAUUAAUCAAGAACGAAAGUUAGGGGAUCGAAGACGAUCAGAUACCGUCGUAG
rnacentral:rRNA from 1 species